AGAUUUUAAGAUGCUUAACGAGAAAGCUGAACAGUGAAACAAACAUUAAUCCAUAUUAAUAACAAAACACAGCACAAAAGGAAAAUACAAAAAAAACAGAGAGCACCGCACGAGAGAGAAGAACGAACAGUAAAACCCUAACUCCGGCCCGUCGCAGUGGCGGUGCCGGAGGUGACUCUUCCUUCCCUUUUCUUGUUUUUACUUUUGCUUUCCUCCCCUAAGCUCAAUCUAUGUCGAUAUGCAAUCUCCUCUGAAGUCAUCCCUUCCUUCUAUCAGUGCUUCGGUACUGAACGAAGACGGUGGUCACGACCUUGGAGAGACGGCGAGACUGUGACGAGGCUAAGGUGUGGAGAGUCGGCGUUUUAGGACUGGAAAUCUGGUUAGAUCGAGUUUUCCCCUUUUUCAGAUCUAGGUUAGAUUUCACCGGCAGUGGUACGUGUUUGAUGUUAGACGACUCUUCUACCCCAUUAAAACUCCAUGUUCGAACGGUGAGAUGGGUGAAGUAGAGGUGCGAUGAGUGGCUGAAGAUGGUGAUACCCUUGAAGCCUUAAGUUGUGACCGUUCAUGUUUCUACCGCCACGGUCCGCCUUUCAGUCCGGAUUCGUGUCCGGUUUUGGCCACAGAGUGAGGAAAGGAUCGACGGUGAUAUGAAUCAAACCGGAGUGCGCCUUCAGGCGUUGAUGCUAUUGGGACACGAACUUGACUCAUACAGCAUGGAGACCAAUGGCUUGUUCUUUUGCAGUCGGACCUUCUGUCCGUUAGGUGGCUAUGGACUGAAGCUACGAAUUCCAGGAGACACAAGCUGCUUUCGGUAAUGCGCUUCGGUGAUGCUGCUAUUGGGACACGCCUUGAAUGCUGAUCUCCUGGGACCAUAGCGUGGGUUAAACUAGUUACACUGGUCAAGUUUGUUUGUGUUUCGCUGUGUUAGUAGUAGUUUUCGAGUCAUUGUGGUUAAUUGUAGUGGUCUAAGAGAUGGUUUGUUUCGAUCUGUGGAGCAUUCUCAUCUCAGUUGGGGUUUAAAAUACAUCAAUGUACUCUAAGUUGCGCUGGAUCCGAGUGAAUUUUCACCUAGUGAAUGUUCCAGGGUGUUGCUAAGAUGCAUUGUUUGUAUAUGUGGUAGAACUCUUGUGAGGUCAAAUGUUUGUACCAAGAUUAUUGGUGAAUGAAAUAGUUGGUGAAUGAAAUA